rnacentral:rRNA from 1 species
UACGUAGGGUGCAAGCGUUGUCCGGAAUCAUUGGGCGUAAAGCGCGCGUAGGUGGUCAUGUCAAGUCCGCUAGUGAAAGUCAAAGGCUCAACCUUUGAAAGCCGGUGGAUACUGCAUGACUAGAGUACGGAAGAGGCGAGUGGAAUUCCUGGUGUAGCGGUGGAAUGCGCAGAUAUCAGGAGGAACACCAAUAGCGAAGGCAGCUCGCUGGGACGUUACUGACACUGGAGGCGCGAAAGCGUGGGGAGCGAACAGG